GGAAUAUUCUUAAUGAGUUUUUUAAAAUUUCCUAAAAGCUAUGAGACUCUGCAUUUAACAAUAUUUAUGUAGUGUCUUGUUCCAGAUGAGGGUGCCCGGUUGAGUGUCUUUUGUUUUCAUUUGUCCAAUGCCUGUAUAGGGCUGCAUUGCCUUGAGAAAUUGUCUAGGCAGAUGGUGGACUGAAAAAUAUCUUCUCAGGCAUGCUUGUUCUUUAUAAAUUGUUUGGUCCACAAUACUAGCUGUGAGCCAUACAAGGAGCAAAGCUGUAAACUGGAUUCUGAAAGUGACUGGAGUUCAGCAGAUAAAACUGAGCAAGAUCUUUGUUUACUACUUACAUCCUGAGAAACAGAAUAGUUUGAUAUGGUCUGUGUUGAGCCUUGGAUAAAUGAAUUAAAGUAAUCCAGCUCAGAAGUUCUCGUGGUGGGGUCAUUGUGACCAUUGUUUAUCUGGGGAGGAGGGUUGACUCUUGCUUGGCUGGAGAUGAUAAAAGGCCUUCUUUCAGACUUAAUAUAAGCAGCCUGAGGGUUUAACUUGGUGUACUUUGAAAGAUGCUGUAUGGAGGAUAAGGCCUGUCAUUUGAAUAGUUCUUCAAAGGACUUCUACCUACUAAUCAGCAGUACCUCAGCCAUACUGGCUCCUCUUAAGAUCAGCCUUGAAGGCGUACUGAAGUCUUAUGGGAGAUUACUGGUGAUGAAUACACUUUAGUAUUUGCUGUCAGCAGCAAUAGAUCCUGUUGAGCUCCAUUAUUGAAAGGCCUGAAGCAAUCCUGGCUGUGCUCCCUCUGGGGCUAGUAUUUAGGUCUUUGCAUACAAGGGCAGUAUCUGUCUACAUGACAGUUACGUUGCUCAAAAUCUGAGUUAUGUUCCCAGGCAAGCUGUUGGUCAUCUGCAUGGAACUGAGAAGGUAGUCACAGCCAGCAGCAAAAUGAUGCUCCCUGCAGCAAAGGAGAACUAAGGCUAUUAAUGCUCUUGAGGCCUGGCUUUUUCCUGUCACAUCUGUUCCAGGAGAUGCACAUAUCUAUUCCUAGCACAGCUUGAGAAAAUCCAGCACUGCAAGAUACAUGGUAGUUCUCUUCUCAUCAUUCAUCAUUUACCUUUCAGGUUCCCCAUAGCUGCUCUCAUUGGUCAGCCUGGAGGUCCAAGGGGAGUCCUGUGUAUGUACAGACCUCUGACAUCCUGCAACUGCAGCUCUCACCAUGUGCAUGGCAUUUAUUGCCAACAGACUGACCCUGCAGAAACUGAUAAGCAUUUGAAGACCACAUCAAAGAAGGGAACAGACUAUUUGUUGAUUUUAUGUAUGAGACACCAGCAGUUCUUAAACGUCUAAAGCUGUACUCUGGAAAGACCUGUGAAAAUAAAAGGUUUUUUGUACUGAAGAGAAAAUUGUAA
rnacentral:lncRNA from 1 species